UACGUAGGUGGCAAGCGUUGUCCGGAAUCACUGGGCGUAAAGGGCGCGUAGGCGGGACAGCAAGUCGGUCGUGAAAUCCCUGGGCUCAACUCAGGGGGGUCGGCCGAUACUGCCGUUCUUGAGGGAUGCAGAGGAGACUGGAAUUCCCGGUGUAGCGGUGAAAUGUGUAGAGAUCGGGAGGAACACCGGUGGCGAAGGCGGCUCUCUGGGGCUGUUCUGACGCUGAGGCGCGAAAGCUGGGGUAGCAAACAGGAUUAG
rnacentral:rRNA from 1 species